GCCGCUAUCGUCUAACGGUUAGGACGGCGCCCUUUCACGGCGCAAAUCGGAGUUCGAUUCUCCGUAGCGGUA
rnacentral:tRNA from 1 species